ensembl:lncRNA
CUAGCACAACACCUGGAGCUCAGGGGGCAAAACAAUCGAGUGCUGCUGUUUGACUGAGGAAGAGUAAAGUAGUCGUGUAAGAUGGUGAAAGACACAGAAAAGUCAGAGGUCAUGCUGGGUGAGCAGAGAAAAGCAGCCUUUUGGACCACCCCAGUAACAGGAUGUAAGGAGAGAGAGAACGCUGACCUCUCAGAAGCUUCAUUGUCAAAGUAACUUCACUAUGAGUGAAGAACAGGAGAUCUACCAAGCUGAAGACAAAAGUAACAUCACGAUAACAUGGCUGCUAAAUUUCCACACCAACAGGCCUCCUGACUUCCUGCAAACAGACUUAAUGAAUGUGAAAAGGAAAACACAGGUUUUCUUCUAUGACAGUAAGACUGGCACUGAGGUGUAUCCAGAUGAGAACUACAGAGGACGACUGCAGUGUGAGCCACAGCUCGCCAGGAAAAGACGACUUGAAUGUCUCUUAACUGAUCUCAGGCUCAACGACACGGGGACAUAUCACUGCAUCGUUGUCCUUAACGAAGAAGUUCGUUCCAAAACAUGUGACCUCAAUGUUACAGCAGCGUUUGAAAAACCUGUGGAAGUGACAUCAAAACCAGCGAACUCUAAGAGGAUCGGCCUCCACGCAGCUCUGGCUUUGUUUGCAGUGGUGAUUAUAGUGCUAUCACUGCGUUACCUGCCUGUAACAUUUUUUAAAUAAUAUUAUUUGCAUUAAUGUGAAAUAGCAGCCCAUUACAGAUCACUCCUGAGGUCACCUCUGACUGUAAUGAGGCUACUGCCAAUGUUUAAAAUGUUUUUCAAAUUCCUCAGAGCUGUGCCACAGAGCAGUGCACAUUUACAUCAGCCCCCGCUCUUCUAAAAUACUAUGAAAAAGUCUUGAGCCCCUGAUCUCUUUACAUUUCGAAUCCCAGGAGUCAGAUGUUCUUCUAAGUCUUGAAAGUCCAGUUCUUAUACCUGACCAUUUUCACAGACAUCUUUACAGACAAAAGGUUAAACUCCAAGUAAUGCAUCAAAAACAAAAGUUUGCUUUUCUGGCAAAUCUUGUAAUUGUUACUACCUCCUGUUUAAAAACAAAACAAAACAUUAAUUUACGUAAAAAAAUGAAGAACAACAUCAGUAUAAAUUUUCAUUUGGUAUCUAGAAAAUGAACAACAACAGAAUGAUAAGCUAACGCCAGCUAUAAAGCUUUAAACAUUUUUCAUCCAGCACUUUAUUAAACUUUGAUACUUUUAUAGGAUUUUAGAUUUUGUUAAGCAAACUAACAUAAAGAAAGUCUGGCUUUGUUGAACCUGCUCCACAGUAUAUCCUUCAGGACUUAAUGUCAGUUUUAGAUCUCUUUGUUGUUUCACUGUAAAGCCUUGAAAACUUAAGGUCCAGAGUUUAUGGAGGUUUGCUCAAACGCACCUCAGUCUCAGCUGUUUGGGUUUCUCUUUUCGAGUGACCUAAGUCUCAUUGACAAAAAUAGCUGAUCUGUCACUAACUUUGUUUAGACAUGGAGAUGGUGUGUGGCUGCACUGCAAAGUGGACAGACUCUGAGAGCAGUAUUAGUAUAGUGUUAAUAUUUUAAGUCUUUUUUUAGUUUAGUUGUGUAAAUAAAUAAAAUAAGACAAUUAGAACAAAGAAGAAAAAACUGCAACAAAAAUUUGCAACAAAACUGUUCCAUAUAAUAUAUAGUGAGAAUUGAUUACUAUUAAAUUUGGUAACAAAGAAAGGAUUUAAUGAUGAAGAGAAAAAAUAAAAGCACAAGACUAAAGUGGCUCUGUUUGUGUUAUAUACUUGAAACACAAUUGCAUGAACAGCUUUACGCUAAGAGGCCGAGAGCACCCCACCCCCCCGAGGGGGCCCAGUGGGGCCACAGGCGCCAGGCCCCAACAAGCAGCCACCGGGAGUGAGCCGGUGCAUACCUGAGCGCCCCGGACACCAAGAACCACC